GAGAUACGUACCUUCCCGGCAAUUCAUGGCAAAAGUCUCCAAGUACGGUAGAUUUUGCAAUUCAUGCAAUUCUAAGAAAUUUCAAGAAAUUCAUGGAUAAAUCAUGUCAAUAAAUAUUUCAUAGCAUCUUAAGCAACGUGAAAUUUUGCGAUUCUAAAGGAGUAUAGUGCAAUCUUUCUCAAGAAUAUCAUACGGAUUAUUUCCAAUUUCUAUCUCGUUGUUACGUAUUUUGUUGCAAUUAAUGUGUGCUAGAAGGAUAUUAAGAGAAUUGGCUCAGGUAUGUUAAGGCUAAGCUCUUCCUUCAAUUUGCAUGAUCUCGUAAUUAUACGAGUUUG
rnacentral:lncRNA from 1 species